UUAGGCAAGCAGAUGGGUGGCUGUGUGCAUGAAAGGGGUAGGAAGGUCAAAGGGCUCAGCUAAGAGAUCCUCCUUCUGCCUCUGGGCCUUGCCCUCCAGGCAGUGGUGAUGGCUUGUGAGAGAAACCUGACUCCUUUGAAGAGCUGGAUGAGUGAAUACUGAGCUGGGACAAAGUUUAAUGCUCUGAGGAUGGAACCCCUGAGGCCACAAAGUGACCUAUUGCUCCCUUUAAGAUGAAAUUCUGUGAAGUAUUAAACACACAGGGCUUAUUCACUUGUUUGUGCUGGCAACAGCAGUGUGUGCUUCCCAAAUUGUGCUGCCAAGUGCCUCAAACCUGACCCACAGCAUGGAGGUUUAGAUGCUGCUCAUCUUCAACCAUCCUUUGAGACAAGCACACCCUGCUCUCCAGAAAAGACACAGCAGUGUUUACACUGCUUGGGCUGCUAAAAAAAAAUCC